rnacentral:sRNA from 1 species
UGAUGAAUGUGCGUUUAAUCACUUCAAACCACCAGCAAGUCUCAGUAUGAUGAGAGGACAUUAACCCUUGCCAUUUUCGGCGAGGGUUUUCUUUU